GAACUUAGGUCUGAACUCGGCCCAAGCAUGGCGGAAUUCCGUUUGGCUUGUUUGCAACACUUUCGCUCCAUUUCAUAUCCACUGUUCUUCUUCGUCGCUUCCGCCUCUCAAUCGGCUCUCCGACUUUGACGAUGACCUCCAGAACCUUAUUGGCGGCGGAAAGCCCAAAAUGCGUUGGUCUCUCACUCAUGGCAAAAAUCGUCCCUUGAUUUUUCUUUCUUUGAUUGAUUGGAGAAUGGAUGAUUAGGUACUUUAGGAGAAUGGAUGGUCGGGUUUGUCGAUAUUCGAAACCCCACCGGAAGACGAUGCAAGUCGUCCGAAAUUGAUCGAUACUCUUCAAGUAACAUCUUUCUUUUCUAUCUUUGCGCGCGUGCACACACACACACACACACACACACAAACACAAACUGGUUGUGAGUGGGGGGAGGGUUGUUUACGAGUUCUGUUUGUAUUUGAUUUUUUUUGUUUUUGGGAAAUUUUAGCCUAGUGAGAUUUUCUCCUCCCGACUUCUGGAAAUCAAGAGUAGUAUUAUUCUUGAAUAACUAAUUUGAUGUUCCUUUUAUCAAUUACCUCAACAUCUCGGUAGAGGAUGAGCUUUUCACUACAAGUAGAACUAUUUAAAUCUUUCUGUGUACUAACAUUUUUGGGAUACACUGAUUCUCGGUUUUCUUGCACUAAUUAAUUGUGCUCGUGUUUAGUUUUAUUUAAUGGAAUUUAUUUUAUUAUGAAAAGUACAUAUUUUUGUUGUGUGAUGAUGCUUUUCUAUUUGGAAAAAAGAAAAGGCAGAUAUGAUGUAUGAUUGGAAGCCCUAUCUGUUUUAGUGUGUCGGCUAGUUUACAAUUUUCAUUGUUGAUGUUUAACCGUUGAGGAACUCUGUAUCCUAUUGAUCCGUGUGAGGUUUUGUAGCGUUGGAGAACCAAAGGAUAUAAAGAAAUAAUCAAAUCUGGAACUACAAUGAGACGUCAAUCUUCUUAGUGUUUUCCAACUUAUUGAUUCUGUCAUGUAGCUGUUGCUGGAUGAUUGAUAAACUGAUAAUUUGAAAAUGGACUGGCAUUAUUUUUGACCAGGUGAGGCCUAGACCCGUGGUUUUGAGGUUGGUGGAUGAGGACAAAGCUGCUGUAAGAUAACAGUAUCCUUAAAACCUCAAUUCUUGUCAUAAUAUUUUAUUUUACUAUUCCCUUUGUUUAAAAUCUAAUGGCUUUGAUUCCUUUUGCAUUUUUACAAAUUGUUAGCAUCAUUGGUUCUCUCUUCUGGAUAAAUCAUUUCUGUCUGUUGGAUUCUCACAUCCAAUUGCUGAUGUUCUUAAAUGUGUUUAUAAUUAGCAUUCUUAAGUCUACUUGUGAUUGUAGGGAAAGAAACUAGCCGUUUGUUCUGCAGCCACUAAAAGUUCAGUUAUAUUGUGUCUUGAAAACCUUAUUGGUAUCGUUAGGUUAAGACGUUGCAGUAGGGUUCAAAAUACUGAAAAAUACAGAGAAAAAGGGAGGAGGAGGAAGAAAGGAAAGGAGAGAGAAUCGAAAGGGGGGUUGGUUUAAGAUAUUUUCACGUGCAUGGAUGGUUCUGCGGGUUCUAGUAUAUAAGACAAGGUCUGGAGAUUGUGGGUGGUAGCUUGAAUGGCUCGAAAACCCUUUGGAGGGCCGAAAACUAAAGCCAUCACCAUUAUGGCCGGCGAUGGUGAGUCCAGGGUAGGGGGCGUGUUUUGGUGAGUUCCAGGGUGAACUGUGGCUUCCGCGGCAUUUACCAAGUAUCUAGGAAUCGUAUGAUGACAGAUGCAUGGAUUUUCUGGCAUUUGUAGAGAUGGCAGCGGGCCGGAAACAGCUCCAAUAGGCUGCAGCCACUAGGGUUUUAGCGAAAACCAUAGUGGCGCCGGAGAAGAUGACCAGAGCAUGGGAGCCUUUGUGUGUGGUAUUCCUUUGUGUGCGCCGCACGUGUUCCACUUAAGUAGUGUUGGACAGGGAAGUGGUGGAGAAGGAAGUAUCAUCCCAAGCAUCUCCAACUCUAACUUAAAAGAGAGAGAAAUCAAGUACUCUCCUGAAAAGUGUUCCUGUUGUAGCUCGUGUUUUAGUUUCUCCUAUUUUUUAGAGCGAUUUGUAUACUCCUAAUGCAAGAGAGAGUUAUCAUUGUUUUUCUCUUGUAAUUAGAAAGAAGUUGUAACAUCCUUUUUAUAUAGUGGAUUUUUUUUUUU